ACACCACUUGGUAAUGCCUGUUUAAGAGGAUAUACAGGAAUAGUUGAAGUACUACUGGAGCAUGGUGUAGCUAAUAUCAAUCACACUAAUAAACAAGAACGUACACCACUUGCUAUGGCAUGUAUAGAAGGACAUACAGAAACAGUUAAACUACUACUG